CCUGGCCCUCGCGUCUCCCUCGCGCGGCAGCUCGGGGGCGAAACCCUAGCCGCCGCCGCCCCUCCUCCUCCCUCCUCCCUGCUUCGCCGCCGCCGGAGCUCGUCGCCGGCAAAGCGGGGCGACGCGCUGGGAUGGCGCGGGGUCAUCUCCCUCGGCUCACUCUCGCCCCGGCGCGGGUGUGGUGACGAUGGCGGCGGGACGGCGAGGUCGCGGCGACGGCGUGGUGGUGGGGCUCCCCGCGGCAAUGGCAGCGCGGCGGUGGGGCUCUGCGCGGCUCCGUCGAGGGCGUCGCCAGAUCUGGUAGCCCCGCCAGAUCUGGCCGGGGUACGACAGCGGCACGGCGGCGGGUCUCGGCGCGGCCGGCGACGGUCUCGGUCAACGCCGGCGCCCUCGGAAGUAGCAGGCGCCUCCAUCUCCCUCCCUCCUGGUCCUCCCUCCCUCCUGGUCCUCCAGAUCCGCUGGGUUCCUGGGUGUGAGAUGUCUCUGGUCGAGCUGCAGGGUUGGCUGUUGAGGUGGAGUCGGAGCUGCUUGUCUUGCAAGCUCGGCAACGAUGACCUUCAACGAACGUCCCGGCAACGCGACGAGGGUUUUGAGGUGGAGCAGUUUGAGAGAACCUUAGGUGAAAACCUUGCCUAG
rnacentral:lncRNA from 1 species